rnacentral:rRNA from 1 species
UACGGAGGGUGCAAGCGUUAUCCGGAUUCACUGGGCUUAAAGGGUGCGUAGGCGGGCAGGUAAGUCAGUGGUGAAAUCUCCGGGCUCAACUCGGAAACUGCCGUUGAUACUAUCUGUCUUGAAUAUCGUGGAGGUGAGUGGAAUAUGUCAUGUAGCGGUGAAAUGCUUAGAUAUGACAUAGAACACCAAUUGCGAAGGCAGCUCACUACACGUAUAUUGACUCUGAGGCACGAAAGCGUGGGGAUCAAACAGG